rnacentral:rRNA from 1 species
GGUUAAGCGACUAAGCGUACACGGUGGAUGCCCCGCAGUCAGAGGCGAUGAAGGACGUGCUAAUCUGCGAUAAGCGUCGGUAAGGUGAUAUGAACCGUUAUAACCGGCGAUUUCCGAAUGGGGAAACCCAGUGUGAUUCGUCACACUAUCAUUAACUGAAUCCAUAGGUUAAUGAGGCGAACCGGGGAACUGAAACAUCUAAGUACCCCGAGGAAAAGAAAUCAACCGAGAUUCCCCAGUAGCGGCGAGCGAACGGGGAGCAGCCCAGAGCCUGAAUCAGUGUGUGUGUUAGUGGAAGCGUCUGGAAGGCGCGCGAUACAGGGUGACAGCCCCGUACACAAAAAUGCACAUACUGUGAGCUCGAUGAGUAGGGCGGGACACGUGGUAUCCUGUCUGAAUAUGGGGGACCAUCCUCCAAGGCUAAAUACUCCUGACUGACCGAUAGUGAACCAGUACCGUGAGGGAAAGGCGAAAAGAACCCCGGCGAGGGGAGUGAAAAAGAACCUGAAACCGUGUACGUACAAGCAGUGGGAGCACGCUUCGGCGUGUGACUGCGUACCUUUUGUAUAAUGGGUCAGCGACUUAUAUUCUGUAGCAAGGUUAACCGAAUAGGGAGCCGAAGGGAAACCGAGUCUUAACUGGGCGUUAAGUUGCAGGGUAUAGACCCGAAACCCGGUGAUCUAGCCAUGGGCAGGUUGAAGGUUGGGUAACACUAACUGGAGGACCGAACCGACUAAUGUUGAAAAAUUAGCGGAUGACUUGUGGCUGGGGGUGAAAGGCCAAUCAAACCGGGAGAUAGCUGGUUCUCCCCGAAAGCUAUUUAGGUAGCGCCUCGUGAAUUCAUCUCCGGGGGUAGAGCACUGUUUCGGCAAGGGGGUCAUCCCGACUUACCAACCCGAUGCAAACUGCGAAUACCGGAGAAUGUUAUCACGGGAGACACACGGCGGGUGCUAACGUCCGUCGUGAAGAGGGAAACAACCCAGACCGCCAGCUAAGGUCCCAAAGUCAUGGUUAAGUGGGAAACGAUGUGGGAAGGCCCAGACAGCCGUGAUGUUGGCUUAGAAGCAGCCAUCAUUUAAAGAAAGCGUAAUAGCUCACUGGUCGAGUCGGCCUGCGCGGAAGAUGUAACGGGGCUAAACCAUGCACCGAAGCUGCGGCAGCGACACUAUGUGUUGUUGGGUAGGGGAGCGUUCUGUAAGCCUGUGAAGGUGUGCUGUGAGGCAUGCUGGAGGUAUCAGAAGUGCGAAUGCUGACAUAAGUAACGAUAAAGCGGGUGAAAAGCCCGCUCGCCGGAAGACCAAGGGUUCCUGUCCAACGUUAAUCGGGGCAGGGUGAGUCGACCCCUAAGGCGAGGCCGAAAGGCGUAGUCGAUGGGAAACAGGUUAAUAUUCCUGUACUUGGUGUUACUGCGAAGGGGGACGGAGAAGGCUAUGUUGGCCGGGCGACGGUUGUCCCGGUUUAAGCGUGUAGGCUGGUUUUCCGGCAAAUCCGGAAAACUAAGGCUGAGGCGUGAUGACGAGGCACUACGGUGCUGAAGCAACAAAUGCCCUGCUUCCGGAAAAGCCUCUAAGCAUCAGGUAACAUCAAAUCGUACCCCAAACCGACACAGGUGGUCAGGUAGAGAAUACCAAGGCGCUUGAGAGAACUCGGGUGAAGGAACUAGGCAAAAUGGUGCCGUAACUUCGGGAGAAGGCACGCUGAUAUGUAGGUGAAGCGACUUGCUCGUGGAGCUGAAAUCAGUCGAAGAUACCAGCUGGCUGCAACUGUUUAUUAAAACACAGCACUGUGCAAACACGAAAGUGGACGUAUACGGUGUGACGCCUGCCCGGUGCCGGAAGGUUAAUUGAUGGGGUUAGCGGUAACGCGAAGCUCUUGAUCGAAGCCCCGGUAAACGGCGGCCGUAACUAUAACGGUCCUAAGGUAGCGAAAUUCCUUGUCGGGUAAGUUCCGACCUGCACGAAUGGCGUAAUGAUGGCCGGGCUGUCUCCACCCGAGACUCAGUGAAAUUGAACUCGCUGUGAAGAUGCAGUGUACCCGCGGCAAGACGGAAAGACCCCGUGAACCUUUACUAUAGCUUGACACUGAACAUUGAGCCUUGAUGUGUAGGAUAGGUGGGAGGCUUUGAAGUGUGGACGCCAGUCUGCAUGGAGCCGACCUUGAAAUACCACCCUUUAAUGUUUGAUGUUCUAACGUUGACCCGUGAUCCGGGUUGCGGACAGUGUCUGGUGGGUAGUUUGACUGGGGCGGUCUCCUCCUAAAGAGUAACGGAGGAGCACGAAGGUUGGCUAAUCUGGUCGGACAUCAGGAGGUUAGUGCAAUGGCAUAAGCCAGCUUGACUGCGAGCGUGACGGCGCGAGCAGGUGCGAAAGCAGGUCAUAGUGAUCCGGUGGUUCUGAAUGGAAGGGCCAUCGCUCAACGGAUAAAAGGUACUCCGGGGAUAACAGGCUGAUACCGCCCAAGAGUUCAUAUCGACGGCGGUGUUUGGCACCUCGAUGUCGGCUCAUCACAUCCUGGGGCUGAAGUAGGUCCCAAGGGUAUGGCUGUUCGCCAUUUAAAGUGGUACGCGAGCUGGGUUUAGAACGUCGUGAGACAGUUCGGUCCCUAUCUGCCGUGGGCGCUGGAGAACUGAGGGGGCUGCUCCUAGUACGAGAGGACCGGAGUGGACGCAUCACUGGUGUUCGGGUUGUCAUGCCAAUGGCACUGCCCGGUAGCUAAAUGCGGAAGAGAUAAGUGCUGAAAGCAUCUAAGCACGAAACUUGCCCCGAGAUGAGUUCUCCUGACUCCCUGAGAGUCCUGAAGGAACGUUGAAGACGACGACGUUGAUAGGCCGGGUGUGUAAGCGCAGCGAUGCGUUGAGCUAACCGGUACUAAUGAACCGUGAGGCUUAACCUU